rnacentral:rRNA from 1 species
UACGAAGGGGGCUAGCGUUGCUCGGAAUCACUGGGCGUAAAGGGUGCGUAGGCGGGUCUUAAGUCAGGGGUGAAAUCCUGGAGCUCAACUCCAGAACUGCCUUUGAUACUGAGGAUCUUGAGUUCGGGAGAGGUGAGUGGAACUGCGAGUGUAGAGGUGAAAUUCGUAGAUAUUCGCAAGAACACCAGUGGCGAAGGCGGCUCACUGGCCCGAUACUGACGCUGAGGCACGGAAAGCGUGGGGAGCAAACAGG